GACGAACGCUGGCGGCGUGCUUAACACAUGCAAGUCGAACGGAAAGGCCCUGCUUUUGUGGGGUGCUCGAGUGGCGAACGGGUGAGUAACACGUGAGUAACCUGCCCUUGACUUUGGGAUAACUUCAGGAAACUGGGGCUAAUACCGGAUAGGAGCUCCUGCUGCAUGGUGGGGGUUGGAAAGUUUCGGCGGUUGGGGAUGGACUCGCGGCUUAUCAGCUUGUUGGUGGGGUAGUGGCUUACCAAGGCUUUGACGGGUAGCCGGCCUGAGAGGGUGACCGGCCACAUUGGGACUGAGAUACGGACCAGACUCCUGCGGGAGGCAGCAGUGGGGAAUAUUGCACAAUGGGCGGAAGCCUGAUGCAGCAACGCCGCGUGCGGGAUGACGGCCUUCGGGUUGUAAACCGCUUUCGCCUGUGACGAAGCGUGAGUGACGGUAAUGGGUAAAGAAGCACCGGCUAACUACGUG
rnacentral:rRNA from 1 species